rnacentral:tRNA from 1 species
ACCUGGUUGGCUCAGUUGGUAGAGCAUGUGACGCUUGAUCUCAGGAUUGUAGGUUCAAGCCCAACAACGAGUG